GAAGCUGUCUGGGAGGAGGGAGAGAGAGACUCCAUGAUUUGGAAGAGAAGCCACAUGCAAGAUAGAAAACCUGGAUGGUCCCAGAGGAUACUGCCCUAAGCCCAAGAACUCUCCAGCAUGUUUGUUUGCUGUCCGAGUCAGUGGGCAUAAAUGAUUUGUGUGUGUGGAAGAUGAAGUGCCAGUUGGAGCAUGACCAAAACAACAGCAGCUGCCAGUCUCCCAGCAGUCACACUCCUUGUGUGAAAAUGUACUGAGGGAGAAACACUUUUUUAAACCUUGAUUGCAAGGUGACGCUACUUUACC